UACGGAGGGUGCGAGCGUUGUCCGGAAUCACUGGGCGUAAAGGGCGCGUAGGCGGCGAGGAUAGUCAACGGUGAAAGCUUGGGGCUCAACCCCGAGUCGGCCGUCGAUACUUCCUUGCUUGAGCACUGUAGAGGCAGAUGGAAUUCCGGGUGUAGCGGUGGAAUGCGUAGAGAUCCGGAAGAACACCGGUGGCGAAGGCGGUCUGCUGGGCAACAACUGGACGCUGAGGAGCGAAAGCGUGGGGAGCAAACAGG
rnacentral:rRNA from 1 species